rnacentral:rRNA from 1 species
UGGAUUUGGGCGCGUCGUCCGCCAGGCUCCAUUACUGGGGCCGUUUGUCUGGUUUUCGACCGCUCCAUUUCUCGGUAGCGUGUCGCGGGCAUUAGAUUGUCUGCUUCUUCGCGCCCGUCGUUUACUGUGAAAAAAUUAGAGUGUUCAAAGCAGGCUUAGGCCGUUGGAUACAUUAGCAUGGAAUAAUGAGAUAGGGCCACGACGGUCUAUUUUGUUGGUUUGCACGUCGAGGUAAUGAUUAACAGGAACGGUUGGGGGUAUUCGUAUUCAAUUGUCAGAGGUGAAAUUCUUGGAUUUAUGGAAGACGAACUACUGCGAAAGCAUUUACCAAGGAUGUUUUCAUUAAUCAAGAACGAAAGUUAGGGGAUCGAAGAUGAUUAGAUACCAUCGUAGUCUUAACCAUAAACUAUGCCGACUAGGGAUUGGCGGUCGUUAAUUUACAGGACUCCGUCAGCACCUUCCGAGAAAUCAAAGUCUUUGGGUUCCGGGGGGAGUAUGGUCGCAAGGCUGAAACUUGAAAUUGACGGAAGGGCACCACCAGGAGUGGAGCCUGCGGCUUAAUUUGACUCAACACGGGGAAACUUACCAGGUCCGGACAUAGUGAGGAUUGACAGA